rnacentral:lncRNA from 1 species
AAAAUUGGGCAAAAAUUGGGUCAAAAUGGGUAAGAAAGGGUUAAAGUAUGGUAAUGAAAGGGUUAAAUGUGGAUUUGGGGUUACUGGUUUAUACUGGUUUAUACUGGUCCAUACUGGUUUAUACUGGUUUAUACUGGUCCAUACUGGUUUAUACUAGUUUAUACUGGGAGGGACUGGGAGAGGGAAAAUAGGGGAAAAUGGGAGAAAAUUGAGUCAAAAUUGGCUAAGAAAGGGUUAAAAUAUGGUAAGGAAAGGGUUAAAUUUGGAUUUUGGGGUUACUGGUUUGGACUGGUUUAGACUGGUCCAUACUGGUCCAUACUGGGAGCACUGGGAGCCAUACUGGGAGCACUGGGAGCCAUACUGGGAGCACUGGUUUGUACUGGGAGCCAUACUGGGAGCACUGGGAGCCAAACUGGGCCAUACUGGGAGCACUGGGAGCGGUCACUGGUCCAUACUGGGAGCACUGGGAGCCAAACUGGGUCAUACUGGUCCAUACUGGGAAGGACUGGGAGCCAAACUGGGAAUACUGGGAGUGGUUACUGGUCCAUACUGGGAGCACUGGUUUGUACUGGGAGGGGGUUACUGGUCCAUACUGGUCCAUACUGGGAGCACUGGGAGCCAAACUGGUCCAUACUGGGAGCACUGGGAGCCCUGGGGGGUAUUACUGGUUCAUACUGGGAAUACUGGGAUGGGGUUUGGGGUGAUACUGGGAGCACUGGUUUGUACUGGGAAAGGGUUUGGGUCAUACUGGUCCAUACUGGGAGCACUGGGAGCCAUACUGCCAUACUGGUCCAUACUGGGAGCACUGGGAUCCAUACUGGGAGCACUGGGAGCCAAACUGGGAAUGCCAACCCCAUACUGGGAGCACUGGGAGCUGUCACUGGUUCAUACUGGGAGCACUGGGAGCCAAACUGGGUCAUACUGGUCCAUACUGGGAACACUGGGAGCCAUACUUGGAAUACUGGGAGAGGGUUUGGCCCAUACUGGUUCAUACUGGGAGCACUGGGAGAGGGUUUCGGUCAUACUGGGCCAUACUGGGAGCACUGGGAGGAGUUACUGGUCCAUACUGGGAGCACUGGGAGGAGUUACUGGUCCAUACUGGUUCAUACUGGGAGCACUGGGAGCGGUCACUGGUCCAUACUGGGAGCACUGGGAGCCAUACUGGGAGCACUGGGAGGGGUUACUGGUCCAUACUGGGAAGGACUGGGAUGCAUACUGGGAGCACUGGGAGCGGGGAGAAUCAUACUGGGAGCACUGGGAGCCUUACUGGGAGCACUGGGAGAGGGUUUGGCCCAUACUGGACCAUACUGGGAGCCAAACUGGUCCAUACUGGGAGCACUGGGAGCUGUUACUGGUCCAUACUGGUCGCACUGGUUUGUACUGGGAGCCCCGGCGAUGACGUCACCGCCCCGCCCGCCAAUAAAAUCGCUCUUCUAACCCCGCUUCGUGCAUGACGUCA